GAUGAAGAACGCAGCGAAAUGCGAUAAGUAAUGUGAAUUGCAGAAUUCAGUGAAUCAUCGAAUCUUUGAACGCACAUUGCGCCCCUUGGUAUUCCGAGGGGCAUGCCUGUUCGAGCGUCAUUAUAACCCCUCAAGCUUAGCUUGGUGUUGGGGCCUGCUGUAAUAGAGCAGCCCUUAAAAUCAGUGGCGGUGCCAUUAGGCUCUAAGCGUAGUAAUUCUUCUCGCUAUAGGGUUCUGGUGGAUGCUUGCCAUUAACCUCUAAUUUUCUAUGGUUGACCUCGGAUCAGGUAGGGAUACCCGCUGAACUUAAGCAUAUCAAAAGCGGAGGA
rnacentral:misc_RNA from 1 species